rnacentral:rRNA from 1 species
AGUGGCGGACGGGUGAGUAACGCGUGAGAAUCUGCCUUGGGGUCGGGGACAACCACUGGAAACGGUGGCUAAUACCGGAUAAGCCGAUUGGUGAAAGAUUUAUUGCCCGAAGAGGAGCUCGCGUCUGAUUAGCUAGUUGGUGAGGUAAGAGCUCACCAAGGCAGCGAUCAGUAGCUGGUCUGAGAGGACGAUCAGCCACACUGGGACUGAGACACGGCCCAGACUCCUACGGGAGGCAGCAGUGGGGAAUUUUCCGCAAUGGGCGAAAGCCUGACGGAGCAAGACCGCGUGAGGGAGGAAGGCUCUUGGGUUGUAAACCUCUUUUCUCAGGGAAGAAGCUCUGACGGUACCUGAGGAAUCAGCCUCGGCUAACUCCGUGCCAGCAGCCGCGGUAAUACGGAGGAGGCAAGCGUUAUCCGGAAUUAUUGGGCGUAAAGCGUCCGCAGGUGGCGAUUCAAGUCUGCUGUCAAAGCACGGGGCUUAACUCCGUAAAGGCAGUGGAAACUGAAUAGCUAGAGUGCCGUAGGGGUAGAGGGAAUUCCCGGUGUAGCGGUGAAAUGCGUAGAGAUCGGGAAGAACAUCGGUGGCGAAAGCACUCUACUGGACGGCAACUGACACUCAGGGACGAAAGCUAGGGGAGCGAAUGGGAUUAGAUACCCC